rnacentral:rRNA from 1 species
GACGAACGCUGGCGGCGUGCCUAAUACAUGCAAGUCGAGCGGACUUUCAAGAAGCUUGCUUUUUGAAAGUUAGCGGCGGACGGGUGAGUAACACGUGGGCAACCUGCCUGCAAGACGGGGAUAACUCCGGGAAACCGGGGCUAAUACCGGAUAAUAUCUUCCUUCGCAUGAAGGAAGGUUGAAAGGCGGCGCAAGCUGCCGCUUGCAGAUGGGCCCGCGGCGCAUUAGCUAGUUGGGGAGGUAACGGCUCACCAAGGCGACGAUGCGUAGCCGCCCUGACAGGGUGAUCGGCCACACUGGGACGGAGACACGGCCCAGACUCCUACGGGAGGCAGCAGUAGGGAAUCUUCCGCAAUGGACGAAAGUCGGACGGAGCAACGCCGCGUGAGCGAAGAAGGUCUUCGGAUCGUAAAGCUCUGUUGUCAGGGAAGAACAAGUACCGUUCGAACAGGGCGGUACCUUGACGGUACCUGACCAGAAAGCCACGGCUAACUACGUG